rnacentral:tRNA from 1 species
GGCGCGGUGGAGCAGUGGCAGCUCGUCGGGCUCAUAACCCGAAGGUCGUCAGUUCGAAUCUGACCCGCGCAACCA